ACUCCUUAGCCAUAACGCAAUAAAGGAGGACAAGUUGCUAGCAUAAAGGAGACUUUUAGCCAGAAAUGUCUCAUAGGUCGUAUUAAAUGUUCAGGAAUUAACGUGUUGCUGGUGCAGUAAAACACAUAUUUCCAACAUGUACUUUAACACGUGAUUUUGGCUGUUUCACAUAACUUUGUCCGUUCAAUGUUACCCGGAAGUGGACCGUGACAAAGCACUUUUAGGGUCGAAAGGUACAAAAGUCACCUGGACAAUGGUGACGGACGCAGCGGUGAUGAUUCCGCAGACGAAGCAGCUGGCGCAGAGAGCCAACUCCAGCAGCAGCAGCCCGGUGAGCGCCAUCAUCCAGCGGUCAGCUUCCCCUCCUCUGCCCGGGGAUCAGCGUCAAGCGUUAAGCAGGGGUCGCUGUCUCUCCCGGUCCAAAUGGCAGAGUAGAACUCCCUCAGGGCCACUUCGGAGACCUCGAUAAACCUUUCUGGGACCUGAAUGCAGCAAGACAAAGAAGUCAUCUAGAAGGUGGAGCACCACACAGAUGAUGUGGAACAGGAUGGAGCGGCGUUAUCUGUCAUCCUCAUCCCUCUAUCCUCCCCACCACAGUGCUCAAAGCAGAGUGCCAGGAAAAGAGGGGGAUGAAUAGAGGAGGACGAAGAGGCAGGGUGACUUUUUCCAUCCCCUCAACAAUAGAUGGAUGAUCUCUGCUUAUCCUCAAAUCGUAUCCCUCCUUUUUCUACCCUCUACUGCUAUUUUUCUUUGUUUUCUUCUUUUGUCAGCCCUCUCCAUCCGUCUGUCCUUCCACUCAUCCCUCAUCCCUCGCUCCUGUCCUUCGUCAUCGUCCCGUCCCCCCCCCCCCCCUCACUCCAGCAAACUUCAUGCUUUAAUUGGAGCUUGCUCACACCCUCAAAGGACACAACAUUAUAUGUGCACCCAUGCAACCUCACUCCUACACUGCCAUAUUCCUGAAAUGUUUCUCUGAUGCGAGCCCUUUGGUGUUUUCCUUCGGGGCAAACAAGGUUCCAGUCGCAGCAACACUGCACACUGCAUGUUGUCCUUUCACCUUUUUCUACUUCCUUGCCUCGCUUCCUUGCUGCUCUGCAUCGUGUUCACUAUUUACUUCCAAACUCAAACAUUAUUUCAAGAUGCAAAACAAUAACGGUGUAGACCAAAAAAAGGGGUACAAAACCCAAA